GCCUCUAUGGUCCAACGGAUAUGACGCCGGUCUACGGAACCGGAGAUGCGUGUUCGAUUCGCGCUAGGGGCACAA
rnacentral:tRNA from 2 species